rnacentral:rRNA from 1 species
GACUGACACUGACACUGAGGUGCGAAAGCGUGGGUAGCAAACAGGAUUAGAUACCCUGGUAAUCCACGCCGUAAACGAUGUCGACCAGCCGUUGGGUGCCUAGCGCACUUUGUGGCGAAGUUAACGCGAUAAGUCGACCGCCUGGGGAGUACGGCCGCAAGGUUAAAACUCAAAUGAAUUGACGGGGGCCCGCACAAGCGGUGGAGCAUGUGGUUUAAUUCGAUGCAACGCGAAGAACCUUACCUACUCUUGACAUCCUGCGAACUUGUGAGAGAUCACUUGGUGCCUUCGGGAGCGCAGAGACAGGUGCUGCAUGGCUGUCGUCAGCUCGUGUUGUGAAAUGUUGGGUUAAGUCCCGUAACGAGCGCAACCCUUGUCCUUAUUUGCCAGCGGGUAAUGCCGGGAACUCUAAGGAGACUGCCGGUGACAAACCGGAGGAAGGUGGGGACGACGUCAAGUCAUCAUGGCCCUUACGAGUAGGGCUACACACGUGCUACAAUGGCCGGUACAAAGGGUUGCGAGCUCGCGAGAGUCAGCUAAUCCCGAAAAGCCGGUCUCAGUCCGGAUCGGAGUCUGCAACUCGACUCCGUGAAGUCGGAAUCGCUAGUAAUCGUGAAUCAGAAUGUCACGGUGAAUACGUUCCCGGGCCUUGUACACACCGCCCGU